rnacentral:rRNA from 1 species
UCAAAGAUUAAGCCAUGCAUGUCUAAGUGUAAGCGUUAUACAAAGUGAAACUGCGAAAGGCUCAUUAAAUCAGUUAUAGUUUAUUUGAUGUAGGAAAAAGCUACAUGGAUAACUGUGGUAAAUCUAGAGCUAAUACAUGCCUUGUAAUGCCCCGACUUCGGAAGGGGUGCAUUUAUUAGAUUAAAUCCAAUGCCUUCGGGCUUUGGGGAGUCAUAAUAACUUUACCAAUCGCAUGGGCUAGUCCCGGCGAUGCUUCAUUCAAAUAUCUGCCCUAUCAACUUUGAUGGUACGGUAGUGGCCUACCAUGGUUGUAACGGGUAACGGGGAAUAAGGGUUCGAUUCCGGAGAGGGAGCCUGAGAAACGGCUACCACAUCCAAGGAAGGCAGCAGGCGCGCAAAUUAUCCAAUCCCGACACGGGGAGAUAGUGACAAAAAAUAACGAUACAGGGCUUUUUAAAGGUCUUGUAAUUGGAAUGAGUACAAUUUAAAUCCCUUAACGAGGAACAAUUGGAGGGCAAGUUUGGUGCCAGCAGCCGCGGUAAUUCAAGGGCGAAUUCGUUU